UCGGGCUGUAGCCCCAACGCCCGAACGCUCGAGCACUUCUCUCCCUUAUCCUUUCACUCCACCGCACUAGCCUUUCCCCAUUCUCCUAUCCACACCUGUCGUGGCUGCUCCCCGGGCCAGCAGCAGCCGUCGACGGGGAGCGCAGCUCGCCUUGUGUCGCGGCGGAGCAGGCGGCGGAACAGCCGGAGGAUGAGGAAGCUGGUGGAGGCGCGGUGUGACGGCAGUGGUGCGUGGUGGCUCGCCGAGGACGAUGAAGCGAGGGGAGGCGGCGACUCCCAGGCCAGCGCAGAUCAACGGGGCUCCGACGCCGUGGGAGUUCGUCGUGGACGCCGACGGGGCGCCUGAGGAUAUGGCUCAGAUGGAGGUGGUGCGGCGCGAGCACUCGGCGGCUGGGGCACGACGCGGAUGCAGCUGCGUGGUUGCGCCUGGAGUGCGAGGAAGCGGGCGGGGGCAGCGGCGCUGAGGCCCGCUAGACUCCGGUGGAUGUGGCCCUUGGUCGCCGCCGUCCGCUGGUCUCUUCGUCCGGCGAAUCGACGCCGGAUUUGUAGGGUCCAACGGCGCGGGGUGGCUCUGGUGACCUUGCGCAAGGAUGGCGCGCAUGGGGAAGACAACCACCAUGGCCAACCUAGUAGGUUCCAUGGGGCUCGGCAAUCACGAUGGGGUUCGAACUUCGCGGCCCGUGACGAGGCGGUCGUCGGCGCCAGAGGUCGACUCCCCUGGUCAACGUCUCCUUCCUACGAAGAAGAAGAGGUUAUUCUUCAGAGAAUUAUGGCGUUUCUUUUGGUUUGUAACCAUCAUCAAUAACACAUGGGCGACUAUUCAGUAAUCUGUGUACCUUACACUACUUCCUCCUGUUUGCACUGAUAUGUGGAUUCCUCAAAUUUUGAAGCAGCCUGAACGUUACCAUCAGAUUCUAAUUCACUUUGCAUGUCUCAAAUUCUGUUGUAUUUUUUCCUAGCUGAUUUCUGAGUCAAGUUGUGAUAAAGUAGUUAGCUUAGCUAUGUACUGAAGUUAGUUUAGUUUGGUGUGUACCCGAGGUUCUGCUUAAAAUAGUUACCAUUGUAUUAGACAUAUAUUUGACAUCUUAUUUAGCAAGAUAUUCCUCGAGAAUAGACACAGUUUUCAUCUUGUCAACUACAACUCCGACGUACAUUUUUUGCCUCCAAAAUCGCCAUGUCUCACUAUACAUUUUUUCUUAAAUUUGCCCUCUCCCUGUAAAACUUUUCUUAAAUUUUCCUGGAAGAUGGCAAAUAUACUUAUCGAAUCAUUGCAAAUUUUAGUUCUCGUAUCAUGAAAAUUCAUUAUUUUUUGCCAUGGCAACUUUUGAUUUUUGGAUCAUGGCGCAUUUUUACUGUUUUCUACCAUGGCAUUUUUUUGGUAGACCAUGGAAACAAAUCUUAUACUUUUUGCCAUGUAAGCAUCAAACAUUUAGUUAAUUGAUCAUGGCAAAUUUAGUUAACACAUCAUAACAAACUUGCUUCCUGGAAGAUGGCAAAUAUAGUUAUCGUAUCAUGGCAAAUUUAGUUCUCGGAUCAUGGCAAAUUAAUUGCUUUCUUGCCAUGGCAACUUUUGAUUUUUUUGAAAUUGUCGUUGUAAUUCUUUAAAUUGUCAAAAACAACACAAAAUAGCAAAUAUUGCCAUGACAAGUUUUGCUAAUUAUUUUACCUUUAUUAACAUGGCUAUCCUAAAUCCCCAUGGCAAUUUUUUAACUUUUAUUGCCAUGGCAAGUUACUAUUUAUUUGCCAUGGCAAAUUUACCUUUUAUUAACAUGGCAAAUUUACCUAAAUCCCCAUGGCAAUAUCUAAGUUUAUUUGCCAUGGCAAGUUUUUACUAUUUAUUUGACUUUUAUUAACAUGGCAAAUUUACCUAAAUCCCCAUGGCAAUAUCAAACUAUUAUUGCCAUGGCAAGUUUUACUAUUUAUUUGCCAUGGAUAAUAUACCUUCAUUAACAUGACAAAUUUACCUAAAUUCCCAUGGCAAUAUUUAACUUUUAUUGCCCUGGAAAAUUUUACUUUUUAUUUGCUAUGGUUAAUUUACCUUUAUUAACAUGGCAAAUUUACCUAAAUUCCCAUGGCAAAUUUUAACUUUUAUUGCCAUGGCAAGAUUUACUAUUCAUUUGAUCUUUAUUAACAUGGCAGAUUUUACUUUUAUUUUUGCGUGCCAAUUAUUAAUUUUUCUACACCAUGGCAAAAUUAACCUUUUUAUUGCCAUGGCAAAUUUACCUUUUAUUUUCCAUAAUUUUUUUAUUUAAUUUACAUGGCAAUUUUAAUUUUUGUCACUCAUGGCAAACAUACUUCUAUGCAGCAUGGCAGGUUUUACUUUUAUUUUGCCAUGGCAAAAAUACUUAGAAAACACGACAAUUAUUACUAAACAAUAGAUGGUGCAUUUUUUGUUUUGUGCUUCGGCAAAUUUAUAUAGUAAAAAUAGCACACAAAAUUUUAAUCCAUAUUUUCUUGAAAUUAUGGUACAGAUGCAAACUGCCAUGAUUUUUUUCCUUUUUGUGCCAUUGCAUAUUUUUUUCUUUCCAUCAUGGUACAGAUGCAAAAUUUGUUUAUAAAGAUGAUUGCAAUUUUUGCUUUGAAACCAUUGGGAUUCUUUUAGUAGUAUCUUGUUUUCCAUUUUUCUAUCUAUCAUGACUUCUUUUUGACUUUUUCAGUGAUGGCAAGUUCAUAUGCAUCCACACUGCACAUUUUCCAUGUUUUUGAUUGGUAAACAACAAAAAUUGCCAUGGCAAAUUCAUACAUUUUGACAUCUUUGCAAAUAAGAUCUUUUUGGUUCAUUCAUAUUAUAGCGGAAGAGUUCUCAUGGUUCAUUCAUACUUUUUUAUUUUUGCAGCAUUUUGUGACUUUUUUUCAUUGCAUGGAAAAAUCUAGCCUUUAUUUAGUCACAUCCAAUAGUGGUUUUUUUGGUCACAGUAAAAAUUGGCACAAUCUUGGCUUUUUUCACAACAAAAAGGCCUCUAGGCCCCUGAGGUAGGGUGUUCGGGCUGGGUGAUUCUCGUCCCGAACACAUGCGUUCGGUCGAUGCCUUCCACGGGACCGAACGAAUCGUUCGAUCUGGGGCUCUUCCAGACCGAACGUUCGGCAGUUAUCGAGGUCCAACAUAAAUUACAUUAUACAAAAAACAUACUUUUGAAUUUGUAUUUGAAAUAGAUUUUUAAUGGUAUAAUUUUUGUGACAUGUAGUUCAAAUUUUAUUAGUUAAAUUCAUGGUCAAAAAUUAGUCCAAGAUAAGAGGAGACCUAAUAAACCUGGACUGAGGGAUAUUUCUGAAGCAUUUUGGAGUAAUGGUUUUAUUUUCUGCCAUGACUUCCACGAAUGUCAUUGCACAAAAAAAAAAUUUCAAGCAGUUAAAAUAUUUGUCGGAAAAAACUUCAUUUUUAAUAAGUUUUUUCAUCAUUUUUUUCCUUCGGGUUUUACCCUUCAUCCCGAGCUCGUUUGAGAUCGGGAGCACGAGAGGAGUUUUGAAAGGUUUUACACUGUGUUAUACAAGUACUACAUUACUAAGUACCACAAUAUUCUUUCGAGCAUCCUUUUUUUUUUAUGUUUUCCCAUGGCAAAGCAAUCCACAUUCCAAGCAAUAAACUUCUUUAGGAGCCUGUUUUCUGUGAUCUUCGACAAACCAAAUUUGAUAGUCAUUUUAUGAUUAUCUUUUUGUUUUUCUGCAAAUGCCAUGCCUUGUCUGCAAGUGUUGUGACGGAUGUCCUUUAGGUUUAUCUACAUUUGUCGUGGGAGGGGUAACGCGACCUUGUUUGUCCAUUUCUUUUCGCUGAUUGCUUCAGGAGUUCUUCCAAUGUUUCGACACAUGAAACUCCACUAGCUUUGUGUUAUUUUUGUUUUUUGUUUAUCAUGGUUUUUUGGGUACAAACAAAUCUCAAUCCUCGCACCCUCACAAAAAAUGGCGUGCCAAGUUUGCUUCUAGGGUACACCAACAAUGAUGCAACGAGCACAUCAUUUUAGUUGGUGACUUUGAAAGAUCAAUGGUAACAAAUAUCAUAUGAAUAGCAGUGGCAAACAUGAAGCGAACGAAAGAGUAAUAGACAUAGGGAUCCACGGAGGGGUCGAUAUUACAAUGAGAUGGAGAUGAGUGAUGUUGAAGGUGGUCGAUGAAGAUGGUUGAUUCCGAUGUCCCCUUGCACGUGGUGAUGAAACUGACGAUCUCCUUCUUGUCGAUUCACCCUCUGGAUGCCUUUCAGAGGCUAAGGUUCUAUGUCCGGGAUCAGUUUCUGGUAUCUGUAUGUGUCCGAUCUCCGAUCCGCUUCCAUGAGGGGAAGUGGUUGACCAAGAGGAGGGGCGGUGGCUGGUACGACCACACGCGCUCGUACCAGACGAUGUCGAGUGCUCUAGAUACCAUGUGCAGAUCUAUGCAAGGAUUCAAUAGCGGGACGACUGCAGCUCGCGCUGGUCCGUAGUGACACGUGCACGAAGACUUCCUGAUUGUCAUCGAUAAGGUCAAGCUAGCUCUGGUAGACGAGCGGCGAUAGGGGCACGUCGGUGGCUCGUUCUAAUGGGAGUAGUGGUCAUUUGGUGGUCUCGAAACUCUAUGUAACUUUUAUUAUGUUUGAGAUGUUUUGUACUUUCAGUAACUUCUGUAAUAAAUUUGAUCUUUUUUGUAAAAAAUAAUAAGAGCAAAAGGUAGUACAAUGGCGUUCCUUUUUUUUGAGGGUAAU